UACCAGCUCUUCGAGUGGUGUGGAUGUUUAUUGGGCCUAAAGCAUCCGUAGCUGGCUGGGCAAGUCCCCUGUUAAAUCCACCGAUUCAAUCGUUGGAGUGCGGGGGAUACUGCUCGGCUAGGGGACGGGAGAGGCAGACGGUAUUUUCGGGGUAGGGGUGAAAUCCUAUAAUCCCGGGAAGACCACCAGUGGCGAAGGCUGUCUGCUAGAACGUGCCCGACGGUGAGGGAUGAAAGCUGGGGGAGCGAACCGGAUUAGAUACCCGGGUAGUCCCAGCUGUAAACGAUGCAGGCUAGGUGUUUGGACGGCCACGUGCCGUUCUAGUGCCGCAGGGAAGCCGUUAAGCCUGCCGCCUGGGGAGUACGGCCGCAAGGCUGAAACUUAAGGAAUUAGCGGGGGAGCACCACAAGGGGUGAAGCUUGCGGUUU
rnacentral:rRNA from 1 species